ACCAUCAGUACGGGUACAAAAAGCCAGUGCUUUUACUAACACUGAGAUGGACUAUUUUGGCCGUUCAAAAUUAUUUUCGGGAUUUAAAAGAUUCAUAUCUGGAAGAGGUCCUGUUCGUGCUCUACAUUCGGUUAUCAUUGGAUUUCAACUAGUCGAUCGAAUGGUUCAAGAUUUUUGGAACCGCUGAAGAGGAAGUGGUGAAAAAUAAGUGGGAGAAUCUACGAGAAAGGUUCAAAAAAGAACUGAACAAAAUAUCGAAGCACCGAUCUGAAAACGCCUUUCGGCACAAUGGCACUUAGUGACAUUUUGAAUUAAUGAUGUUUUUGAAAUCUAUAUCACCACCUAAGGUGACAGAAGGUGAUAUGGAGUAUUCCGAAAGUACUUCUCAUGCUACCCAGUUGGCUCAGGAAUGUGAAACUGAAAUUGCAAUAACAUCGAAACCUUCAAAAACAAAAUCUGAUAAAGAACUUGAAUACGACGAACUUCUCACUGCUUGGUACAGCUUCUUCUGAACCACCAACAAAACAAGUCACCCAUGUUUCUCGACAACAACGAAACGAUGACUUGGAAAAAGUGAUAUCAGGAAAAGAAACUCCAAUCAACCCUAUUGUAAUACAAUGGAAGCGAAAGGCACCAGUAAGAAAUGUAUGGAACUUAGAGAUGAAGAAUUUUAAAAAUUAGAAGCUGAAAAAGUUGCGUUAUUAGAAAAAAAAUAAUGAAGAUAAUGAAUAUAUAAUUUAUUUUAAUCCCUACUUCCUCAUGUAGGAUAACUUACGUCUCUGAGGAACUUUCUUUUAGAAGUCAGGUUCAGAAUCUUUUGGCUGAAGAAAUAUGGAAACUAAAGAACGAUCGACAUUCCUAUAUAAUCAUCUCAUCUCAUCAACAGCGUUCGCAUACUUCUAGCGCUCCAUCUCCUACUUCAAGUAGGAGUAACCUUUUUCUUUGCACCAGUCUCACCAGCGGAACAUCUACAGCCACGACUUUUGGAACCCACAACAUUACGUAAUUCACAAU